CCCACAGUACUUACGUAUGACGUAAACACUCAUCUCGGAGCACUGAUUGAAUUAAGUUAAGUACCUCAUGGUAAAUUUAGGCCGACCGCGGAACUGUACAAAAGGUUGAAAAGAAAUUACACUAUGGAAAACUACAUGUCGGUGAAUGCAAAGGUUGAAGGUUCCGCGUUGCGCGCAGGCUGCCGGCCUGGUUGAGCUCUCGAAGGACACUAGCGGUGUCGCCGCGCGCGACCCCCCUCCCCCGCCAGCCCUCCCGCGGAAACGUGUGAAUUUCGCGGGAAACUGAACCGGCCAGGUUCGGGAAAAAUCGCACAUUGAAACAUGAUUUUGCAAAGACUUAAUUAUUAAUUAAUAAAAAAUAAUGUUUAAUAAAAUCCUGUGGAAAAACAUAAUUAUAACAAUUUGUUGUAGUGCGGCGGAAGGAUAUGCCACACCCGGCCGGAUCCUUGCGCCGGUGUAGCACUCGUUGUAUGGCGUUCGCCUCGUCGCACGAACUGCACUUUGCUGCGCGCACGGGCGCGUUCGGUGCACACGCUUUUGCGAGACGUUGAUGAGGCAUAGCGGUCUAUGCGACAGAGGAGCAUUGGCGGUCGGCGUCACUGUAUAUUACUCUAUGAUACAGCAGCAAGAUUCUAAAGUUGACAAUAGAUAAUGCUAUGCACGAAAGAAAUAUUGUAGUUUUUAAAAUCUAUUGAAAGAAACUGACUCUUUAUGAAAGUAAUAUUUUAAGUUUUUAAUAGUGUUAAGGUUAUAUCCACGGGUUAUGAGAAAAAGAGAUUUUAUUAGAGCGACACAAGAAAACUUUGUUGUGAUUGUAACACGGCUUAUAACAUAUAUAUUGGAAUAAAAUACCAAACUUAAACAUUUAACUGAGUAGCUCAGAUAAAUAAGAAACAAGUAUUUUGAAAUGUGCUUAACCUUGUUCAAGUACAUUGAUAUCACCACCCUCACCGGCGCAUCAAAGACUACGUCCUCCUCGAGCCCCCGUGAUGAUGGGGCCAUUCACCUGGCUGCUCGUCGGUUCCUGUCGACCUACGCCGCGGACCAUUCUUGCAUAUGUAUAUUAGAGGUGUAAAAGUAACGAAAAAAUGUGUACCCGUAUGUAUUCGUUACUAUAACAAUUAGUACUCGUUACUUUCGUAUCGUUACUCGUUACUUCUGAUACCGCAUGACAUGGCACAUGCUAUGUUAUGUAACAGCAUCGAAUCGAGUCGUAUUUCGUACGCGUACAGUAUGACGUCGCGUAAAUAAAAAUAAAUCGAAUAUAAACAAUCAAAAAUAUUUGUUAAUUAACAGCUUUUGUUAACCAAGAAACAAUUUACUCUCAUUAGAGCGGCUUUAUUAUAAUAUAUCUUUUAAGAUAAGAACAUAAAACGUGAAAAUACGCGAUUAUAAAAAACAAAAACAUACAUAUUUAUAAUUUGUAAAAAAUACUUUCUUACGUUGUUUCUGUUCGAAUCUAAAACUUUGUCUACACACACAAUACCUUUAAUAAACAGUAAAAAACUUGGACGACGAAUUUCCAAAUCAUACUUUUAUUAAUAAACAAACAUCGUUCUUUGUAACGAAUACGCGCGCGCAUGCGUGAAACAUACGAAAGAUGCGAGUAACGAAAUGCAUUCGUGUGUAACGUUUCGUUACUCGUUACUAGAUGCCGCACCCGUUACUCAGUAACGAAUACAUACGGUUUGCUACAGCUCUAAUGUAUAUGUGUUUUUGUUCCUUAUGGGUGACAUGUAAUCUGUUUUUGUAAUGUCUUGUAUGUAUUGCUGCUUAUUUUGUUCUUAAACUCCAUGUGUGCUUAAUAUUUAUAUAUUGUACUUGUUUAUGUUUGCUGCUCACAAGCCUUCUGCUGUGCGCUAGGUUUUUUAGUGAUAAAUACUUUUCCUAGCAUUAAGAGUUGAUGUAUUGUAUGUUUAAGUGUUGCUGUGUUGUGUAUUUAGUUAGCUUGUAAGCGUGUUAAAGCGCAGUGCCGCUGGGACACGCUGUCCCCCCGGCUGUUCGGGCGUAAUAUGUCUGUUCAAAUAAAUGGUGAAUGAACAAAAAAAAAAAAAAAAAUCAAUGUCAAGUAUUCUAUCAAGAAAUAGAAUUUUGAUGAAGAUUUCAAUUAAGAUCAUGUGAUAGGUGCAAGGUUAAAGAACACAAGCGCACAUCCUCAUCCUGAAACUGUUUAGUAUGAUGUAUUGUAGCAACAAAUCGAGUCGUAUUUCGCACGCAAUCGUAUGACGUCGCGUAACUAAUAAGAAGUUAGAUUUUUGUUAACCAAGAUUAGAGCGGCUUUAUUAUAUUAUCUCUUUUAAGAUAAGAACAAAAAAAGUGAAAAUACGCGAUAAUAAAAAACAAAAACAUACAUAUUUCUAAUUUUAAAAAAAAACUUCCAUACGUACGUUGUUUCUGUUACAAUCUCAAACUUUGUCUACACACACAGUACCUUUAAUAAACAGUAAAAAAAACUUGGACGUCGAAUUUCGAAAUUAUACUUUACAUAAUAAACAAACAUCGUUCUUUGUAACGUAAAUUCAUCGAAUAUGCGCGUGCAUGCGUAAACCAACGGCUGCUAUUAGUUUUGUGUUUGCGAUUGAAGACACAUCUUCAUAAUGUUUUGCAGUAAUGUUUGUAAAGCGAAAUUUUUACGUAGGUAGUAUAAAAAACACAUUGAGUUCGUUAGUUUUAAAGAAUUAGCAGAUGUUUCGUUCGUAUCUGUUUAUAGGUAGGAUUAAUAGGGAUAGGGAAGUUCAUUAGUCGUUUCUUUAAUGUUGGUACUAAAACUAAGUAAAGAUGAAGGAUGAACCGUUUCCUUCUAUUUCCGUCUUGAUUUUCGUGCAUUUCGUGUAAUGAAAGGAAGAAAAAUUUUGUUGUCAUGUAUUUAAUCUGCUAACCCGUCUCGCCUUGGGAACUAUAGAGUGGUGAGACCAAUUUGGCGAUGCAUCACGGGACCUGGCUGAGUGCUGCUGCUGGGACAAACUCCGCUACCCUGGGUGGACCGUGCGCUGCCCCCCUCAGGGACGUAGCCGGGGGAAGUCCUCAUAAUAUAAAAAACUGCAUAGCCGCACCGGUGACUAUUGCAAGCUGCAGCAGCAGCAUCUUGGGUGAGCUGCACUGGCAACUCGGGUGAGCUGCAGCAGCAGCAUCUUGGGUGAGCUGCACUGGCAACUCGGGUGAGCUGCAGCAGCAGCAUCUUGGGUGAGCUGCACUGGCAACUCGGGUGAGCUGCAGCAGCAGCAUCUUGGGUGAGCUGCACUGGCAACUCGGGUGAGCUGCAGCAGCAGCAUCUUGGGUGAGCUGCACUGGCAACUCGGGUGAGCUGCAGCAGCAGCAUCUUGGGUGAGCUGCACUGGCAACUCGGGUGAGCUGCAGCAGCAGCAUCUUGGGUGAGCUGCACUGGCAACUCGGGUGAGCUGCAGCAGCAGCAUCUUGGGCGAGCUGCACCAGCAACUCUGGCGUGCUGCAGCAGCAGCAGCAUCUUGGGCAAGCUGCAGCUGCAUCUUGGGUGAGCUGCACUGGCAACUCUGGCAUGCUGCAGCAGCAGCAUCUUGGGCAAGCUGCAGCUGCAUCUUGGGUGAGCUGCACUGGCAACUCGGGUGAGCUGCAGCAGCAGCAUCUUGGGCAAGCUGCAGCUGCAUCUUGGGUGAGAUGCACCAGCAUAAAAAGUGUCACUAUUAUUUUAUAUUUUUAAAGUUUUUAAUUUGUAAUCAGAUUAUAGCUUAUUACAUUGGCUAUUAGACUGUUACAGAAGAUUUCAGGGGAAACUGUCGGUGUUAGAAUCCUUUAAAAUUGUGCAUACCAUCAGCCUGUCUGCCAUAAUAUGUAGUCUCGUGUCCUAGUGAUGUUGCAAAUAUAAUUCUAUGUUUAUUCCCACAGAUAUUAAGCAGAGACUGCAUAGCUGGGCUUCUGGUAGAUGAAUCCAUUCAAGAUGUCGAGAAUGUUGAAGAUGCUGAGCGAAUACCAUACGGGAUCAAACCCUCGGAACAUCUCGAAGAGGAAAGAAAAUAAAUUGUAUGUUAUAAAUAAUGAGGUUUUUAUGGAAAAUACGCUUGUUGGAUUUAUAAAUUAUGUCUUGCGUAUCAGUAGCACCAAGUAUUGUGCUAAUGAUUGUAAAAACUUUUCUUUAUUUUUACUUUCACUUCAGGUCAUCUUAAAGCAUGUACAUUAGGCCUGUGCAGAUAAGUUUUUUUAGUUUUAAUCGCAUAAAAUAAGUCAGCUACAGUAAUUUUAAGGAAAAUUUUUGCCAAAAUAUUUAAAUUAUGAAAUAACUGUUUUUUUAAUUAUACAGCUAAGCCAACCAACCAACCUUUCAUUUUCUAUUGGCCUUAUUUUCCACAACUUGCUACUCUACAUGUUGAUCCAGAAAACUUUAGCUUACCACAAAAUACUGUGGAAUCCAUCACAAUCAGUUUUACGAAAAAUGUGAACCUUUUUUCAAAAUGCUGUAUUCCCAAAUGAAGUGAUUGAAUGAGCUUAUAGUAACAUAUUUAUACCGUAGUUAUUCACGAGUGUUUGUUGUUAAAGAGUGCCAGAUAAAUUAUAUUUUAUUUCAGCAAUAUCAUAAAAAUCAGUAUUUGCUGAUUUCAUCUGGAAUCUUAAACCAUUAUAAUUUAUUUAUAUAUAUUUUUGAUUCACAAUGUCUGUUUCAUCAUAGGUACAUAUAGUAAGCUUCUACUGUAUCAUAUGGUGUUGGAUCAUUUGUGACUAUCAGUUUGUACGUCAUUGAAACUAUGAGAAUUAAUUAAUUCUUGUAACACCCGUCUGAAUGGAGUGUGUGUGUUUUGUGGUGGUGCAGUCCAUGGUGUGAAUGUUUAUUUUUUCCCACUUCUGGUGCACGUGAAAAAAGAAAUAGAAAUAUUAUUUUGUUUUCAAAAUUGAAAUGAUAAAUAUGCAGUGUUUGGAAUUGUUUAUGCAAUUUUUUCUGUUAAUGUUUAGCAAGGCGGUAGCAAAAAAAAAAAAAAAAAAAAAAACUUUGAAUACUUGUUGUAUAUUUAAAACGUCACUUAUUGUUCAUGUCUUUGAUUAUGGAGUCCCAUUAAACAUUAAAAAAAAGGGUAUUAUCAUCACAUCAAUGACUUAAUCUCAGCAGUGAAUUUUGGUGUGUGACAAUUCAUGAGAUAUGCUAAAUUAAGUAUUCAUAAGCAAACGAAUCUUUAGUAUUUCGAAGUUUUAGAAAUAGAGGUUGAAUCAAAUCAUUUAAUUGUAUUAAAAAAUUCAAAAUUCCGUAUUGUAUCGCAUAAAAAAAAUAUAUUUCUUUGUUAGGUAAAGUUAUUCAUAAAAACAAAACCCAUUUAUGGAAAGUAUGUUUAUUUAAAAAGCACGCCGAACAAUUUAAAUUAAUAAGUCAUGCAACAAAAACCUUUCAUCAACUUCAAAUAUAAAAACAAAAUGUGAAUGCGAGCCUGAACUAAUGCAUAACUAUUGUCGUCGUACGCCACGAAAGAGUGCAGGCCAACAAAUGUAGUUAACUCAGAACUCCACAGAGAGCGUGCAUUGCAUGCAAUCGGUGAGAGAUCAGCAUCAAUAUUCGACUGUGUGCGCACUCUAUACGAGAAGCAACAUGAGUGAUGCCAACUAGCGCUGGCUACCUUUUUUUUAUAAGCGGUACACAGCAGUGACGUAAAGGUUGUAACGUUUAAAAACGUCUUUAAAAGAUAAUUUACUUUACACAUCAGACAACUUCACAUUUCCGUUAAUUAAAUAAGUAAGUGGUAAUGUCCAAAUAAAUAUUAUAUUUCUACUUUAAAACAAACUGUUUUAUAUAGAAAAGAUACCUACACAAAGUGCCCGGAAUCUAAUAGCAGGACCAAAAACAUCGUACAACGUUUACGCGAUGUUUUUUUAAUCAAAAUUUUGAUGCCCUAAAAUAUAGUUGUUGCAAUUAUGCGAUAAAACAGGGUAUUACUCUGAAAUAACAAAUAUUUGACACUGCAUACCUCAUGACUUUGUCAUAUACCAACGUUCGCUGUUAAGGUUAAGUCAUUGUGCGAAUUUAAGAUGUUUUAAUGGGACUCGUAACAAAAAAUAUGAACAAUAAUAAGUGGUUUUUUAAACAUGCAACAAGUAUUCAAUUUUUUUCCCACUACUGUCUCACUAAACAUUAACAAUUCAAAACACGACAUACUUGUCAUUUCAAACUUAAAAGUAAAAUAUUAUUUGCUAACAUCAACACAUGCACAAGAAGUUUGAAAAAAUAAAUAAAUGUCGACAACCAUGGACUACAAGACCAGGAAAAAACUCGCUCCAUUGCGAUGGCCAAUGAAAGAAGUAAAUUACAUACAUAGUUACAAUGGCAUAUAAAUUGAUAGUCACAAUUGAUCUAACACCAUGCGACACAGUAGAAUUUUUAUUCUUGUAUGUACCUAUGACAAAACAGACAAUUCGACUCCAAAAAUAUAUUUAAAAAAAGUAAUGGUUUUGUGUUCCAUGUAAAAUCAGCAGAAAUUGUGAUUAACAUACCGCCAAUUUAAAAUAUAAAGAACCUGACUGCAGUUAACUAUGGUUUAAAUACAAACUCAUUUAAUCACCAAUUUAGGAAUACUGUUUUGAAAAAAAAAAAAAAAAAAAAUCCAGUUUGUUGAUAAAUAAACUGUAUGGUACCUAUUUUGUUUUCUUGAUCAAAAUGUAAGAGUAUCAGGUUCUGGUAAAUAGGAAUUAAAUAAUUGUAGCCCACGUUACACAUUUAACUAGUAUAUCUUGGAAGUAACAGCAUUUGUACCUUUUUUCUAGUUGGAUACUAAACUGUAAAACUUAAUUGCACAAGCCUAUCAAUCAAUGAUGUAUUCUUAUUCUGUGAAAAAAUAAAUAAAUUUUUUAUUGAACCUUAC